AGUGAACGCUGGCGGUAGGCCUAACACAUGCAAGUCGAACGGAAGCACAGUAAGAGCUUGCUCUUACGGGUGGCGAGUGGCGGACGGGUGCGGAAUACAUCGGAAUCUACUUUUUCGUGGGGGAUAACGUAGGGACACUUACGCUAAUACCGCAUACGACCUACGGGUGAAAGCAGGGGAUCUUCGGACCUUGCGCGAUUGAAUGAGCCGAUGUCGGAUUAGCUAGUUGGCGGGGUAAAGGCCCACCAAGGCGACGAUCCGUAGCUGGUCUGAGAGGAUGAUCAGCCACACUGGAACUGAGACACGGUCCAGACUCCUACGGGAGGCAGCAGUGGGGAAUAUUGGACAAUGGGCGCAAGCCUGAUCCAGCCAUACCGCGUGUGUGAAGAAGGCCUUCGGGUUGUAAAGCCCUUUUGUUGGGAAAGAAAAGCAGCAGGUUAAUACCCCGCUGUUCUGACGGUACCCAAAGAAUAAGCACCGGCUAACUUCGUG
rnacentral:rRNA from 1 species